UUUCGAAUCAUUCACAAUGGGGGAAACCCUGAUGGUGCGACGUCGCGUGAGGGAUGAAGGUCUUCGGAUUGUAAACCUCUGUCACAUAGGACUAAACUUGAGAUUCAUAAUUUCAAUUGAAUUAACUAUGAGAGGAAGUAGUGGCUAACUCUGUGCCAGCAGCCGCGGUAAUACAGAGACUACGAGCGUUACUCGGAUUCACUGGGCGUAAAGGGAGCGCAGGCGGAAAUAUGUGUUAGAUGUGAAAUCCCGGGGCUUAACCCCGGAACUGCGUCUAAAACUAUAUUUCUAGAGACUUGGAGGGGUAAGCGGAAUUUGUGGAGUAGCGGUAAAAUGCGCAGAUAUCACAAGGAACACCGAUGGCGAAGGCAGCUUACUGGACAAGAUCUGACGCUCAGGCUCGAAAGUGUGGGUAGCAAAAG
rnacentral:rRNA from 1 species